UACGUAGGGGGCGAGCGUUGUCCGAAGUUACUGGGCGUAAAGCGCGCGUAGGCGGACUCUUAAGUGAGGGGUGAAAGGUUCAGGGCUCAACCCGAACACUGCCUUUCAUACUGGGAGUCUUGAGUGCGGGAGAGGCGAGUGGAAUGGUCGGUGUAGCGGUGAAAUGCGUAGAUAUCGAUCGGAGCACCCAUGGCGAAGGCAGCUCGCUGGCCUGUAACUGACGCUGAGGUGCGAAAGCGUGGGGAGCAAACAGG
rnacentral:rRNA from 1 species